UACGGGGGGAGCAAGCGUUGUUCGGAUUUACUGGGCGUAAAGGGCGCGUAGGCGGCCACCGCAAGUCGGUUGUGAAAUCUCUGGGCUUAACCCAGAAAGGUCAACCGAUACUGCGGGGCUAGAGUGCAGAAGGGGCAACUGGAAUUCUCGGUGUAGCGGUGAAAUGCGUAGAUAUCAGGAGGAACACCUGCGGUGUAGACGGCUUACUGGACCAUAACUGACGCUGAGGCACGAAAGCGUGGGUAGCAAACAGG
rnacentral:rRNA from 1 species